ACGGCUCAGUAACACGUGGACAACCUACCCUCCGGACGGGGAUAAACCCGGGAAACUGGGUAUAAUACCCGAUAGAUCUCGACUGCUGGAAUGCAUCGAGAUCGAAAGCUCCGGCGCCGGAGGAUGGGUCUGCGGCCUAUCAGGUAGUAGUGGGUGUAGCGUACCUACUAGCCUACGACGGGUACGGGUUGUGAGAGCAAGAGCCCGGAGAUGGAUUCUGAGACACGAAUCCAGGCCCUACGGGGUGCAGCAGGCGCGAAAACUUUACAAUGCCGGCAACGGCGAUUAGGGGACCUCGAGUGCCAGGUUACAAAUCUGGCUGUCGUGAUGCCUAAAAAGCAUUGCAAAGCAAGGGCCGGGCAAGACCGGUGCCAGCCGCCGCGGUAACACCGGCGGCUCGAGUGGUAACCGUUAUUAUUGGGUCUAAAGGGUCUGUAGCCGGCCGGAUAAGUCUCUUGGGAAAUCCAGCAGCUCAACUGUUGGGCUUUCAGGAGAUACUGUCUGGCUCGAGGCCGGGAGAGGUGAGAGGUACUUCAGGGGUAGGGGUGAAAUCUUGUAAUCCUUGAAGGACCACCAGUGGCGAAGGCGUCUCACCAGAACGGACCUGACGGCAAGGGACGAAAGCUAGGGGCACGAAUCGGAUUAGAUACCCGGGUAGUCCUAGCCGUAAACGAUACUCGCUAGGUGUCGGCCACGGUGCGACCGUUGUCGGUGCCGUAGGGAAGCCGUGAAGCGAGCCACCUGGGAAGUACGGCCGCAAGGCUGAAACUUAAAGGAAUUGGCGGGGGAGCAC
rnacentral:rRNA from 1 species